rnacentral:rRNA from 1 species
CACGUAGGGCGCAAGCGUUGUCCGGAAUUAUUGGGCGUAAAGAGCACGUAGGCGGUCUGUUGCGUCCGCUGUGAAAACUCGGGCUUAACCCCGAGCCUGCAGUGGAUACGGGCAGACUAGAGGUAGGUAGGGGAGAAUGGAAUUCCCGGUGUAGCGGUGAAAUGCGCAGAUAUCAGGAGGAACACCGGUGGCGAAGGCGGAUCUCUGGGCCACUGUCUGACGCUGAGGAGCGAAAGUCGGUGGGAGAACAGG